rnacentral:rRNA from 1 species
AGCAGCCGCGGUAAUUCCAGCUCCAAUAGCGUAUAUUAAAGUUGUUGCAGUUAAAAAGCUCGUAGUUGAAUUUCGGGAUCAAUACGUCUGUCGUGCCUUUGGUACGUACGGGUGUAAUUGGUUUCUACCUUCUGAGGAUCCUUGAUGUCAUUAAUUUGGUGUCUUGGGGAAUCAGGACUGUUACCUUGAAAAAAUUAGAGUGUUUAAAGCAGGCAUGCGCUUGAAUACAUUAGCAUGGAAUAAUGAAAUAGGACGUUCGAUUCUAUUUUGUUGGUUUCUAGGAUCGACGUAAUGAUUAAUAGGGAUAGUUGGGGGCAUUAGUAUUCAAUUGUCAGAGGUGAAAUUCUUGGAUUUAUUGAAGACUAACUACUGCGAAAGCAUUUGCCGAGGAUGUUUUCAUUAAUCAAGAACGAAAGUUAGGGGAUCGAAGACGAUCAGAUACCGUCGUAGUCUUAACCAUAAACUAUGCCGACUAGGGAUCGGAUGAUGUUAAUUUUUAAUGACUCAUUCGGCGCCUUAA